rnacentral:sRNA from 1 species
GUCGAGAGUAGAGGGCACGAGUGGUGUGGCUUUGCGGCUCCUCGUGCCCUCUCGCG